UACGUAGGUGGCGAGCGUUGUCCGGAUUUACUGGGCGUAAAGAGCGCGCAGGCGGUCGUUCAAGUCGCGUGUGAAAGCCCCCGGCUCAACUGGGGAGGGUCACGCGAUACUGAUCGACUCGAAGGCAGGAGAGGGUAGUGGAAUUCCCGGUGUAGUGGUGAAAUGCGCAGAUAUCGGGAAGAACACCCGUGGCGAAGGCGGCUCUCUGGGACGGUACUGACGCUGAGACGCGAAAGCGUGGGGAGCGAACAGG
rnacentral:rRNA from 1 species